GGGAGUGUGUGGUUAAAAUGGACUUGGUUACGCGAGAGCGCGUGGGGAAGGUGGGGCUUGUCGCAGCUCAGGAGGCAGAGGCGGUGCUGUUUGGUGGAAAAACUGAGGCCAAUGGUAGACGCUUCCUGCUCCCUCGGCUCUGAGCGAGGCGGAGUCCGAGUCACUUAUUUGCUUUUCACCGCAUUUACAGCUUUUGAAUUAGCGAAUAGACUGUAAGCUCCUUUGAGCAGACUGCGUCCCAGCGCUGACCAGUUCCGGCACCUAGUAGGUGCUCCGCACGGCGGCCCGACACCCUCGUUAGCAGUUAUUUAGCAGACUCCCCGGCCUGUCCUGGGCCGGAAGUGACUUCUGCCCAGCCCCUGCCCUCUGAGGACGAAUAGGAUGAGUGUGCGGAGAGACAGGCGGUCCGAGGAGAGCGGGGGCCGCCGAGGAAACGGUCCGGCGCAGCAGGGGGUCCAGGAAGGUCUCCUUGAAUGGCUCAGUUGCUUUUGUGCCAGACGCAGACGGAUUCCGGCGAGGAGGAAGGACGGAGGGUGCUCCCGGUUGAGGAAAGCGUAGUGAGGAAGACAUGGUGUGGCUGCUUACGAUCUAUGGGGAAAGAAGCCUGUCUGGCCAUGUGAAGGAAAGUCAUAAGGUUUAGUGUUCGUGGACCAAUGGGUGGGUCAAAGGAUGCUAGACGGGAGUUGGGAUUUAUUUUCCAUGCGUCUGUGAUCAAGGGUAACAUGUAAAUUAAAAGGAGGAGACUACUGUGAGCAUUGCCUGAGGAGGUGGUGGGCGCCACUGGCUGGGGAUUAGUGAAGAUUUUAGGGAGCCAAAUCCUGACCAGGACCAGCAGAAGUUGGAGGUACAGCUGUGACAAGAUGCUGUAUUUUGGCAAUAAUAAUUUAGGGAUUGCUUUUGCUAUUUUUCCCUUUCCUCUCAUUUCUAGCAGGUAGCCAGGACUUGUAAAUCACUUUUCAGGAUUUUUGUAGGACAGGAAGUAUUUUUUUUUUAAGGUUUAACAGAUCUUUUUUCUUCUUUUUUUCUGUUUUUCUUUUUAAAAUUUAUUGGGGUGACAUUAGUUAAUAAGAUAUAGGUUUUAAGUCUACAUAUCUGUGAUACAUGAUCUGUAUAUUGCAUUGUGUGCCCACCACUCCAAGUCAGGUCGUCUUCCAUCACCGUAUCUUUGCCCCUCUUUACUCUUUACUAACCCCGCUCCCAUUCCCCUCAGGAAACCAUCAUACUGUGGAAGUAUUUUUUUCAAAACCUAAUCCAGGGAUGCGGAAAAUUCAAAUUACUAUAGAAGGCAGGACCCACUGAUGAUCUGGAGUUUUGACCAGAAGCUAAGACUGGUAGCCCUUGGACUAAAUUCAGUGGAUAGACCAGAGCUGAUGUCUAUACACCCUGCACCAAACUGAUGAUGUGAACUUGUCGAGAGCCCGGCCUUGCAUCAUGUCUCUCUGCCCAGAGCAGUGCCUGGCUCAGAAGAAGCGCUCAACUGACCAGCUGACCGAUGCUUUUCAAUCUUCUUCCUGCACGUCUUUUCUCAGAACAAUGGCAAGAUGUUCUCUAGCAUUAUUCUGGGUAUCCUGGUAGUGCCUGGUUCAGGAUUGUGUAGCCAUAUGUGUUGAGUAGAGAUAGGGAAAGGAUGAGAGAGUAACUUAUCUGGAGCCAGGGGCUGUCAGAUCCAUGUCCCAGGGGACCUCUGCCCUCUGCCUGGUCCACCCUCGCAUGGCACACCCCCUCCCAGAUGAAACAGACCCAGUACUGGCACACUUCUCUUUGAUAACGUUGCUCUAAGACUCACAGCACUGGGAGGGCAGAGAAACAAGCUUUCAGUAAGGCUGCUGGGCCUUAAAUCAUGCCUCUGAUUGGAAGGAAGUGUCCUUGCUGGUGAAAAGCCUCAUGUUUGGCUGGAAUCUGACGCUUCAACUACUCUUUCCAACACACGUAUUUUUCCUGUGCUCCAUGCCAAUGGAGAUUACUGCUGAGUUUCUAAUGCUGCAGGGUGGGCGUGGCCUCCCAUAGGAUGCUGCAACUCUACCUGAGUUAUCCAGUUGUCCUCUCAGUGACAGCUGACCAGGGCUCCUCCCAGGGCUCCUCUGUGUAGCCUGGACCAGCCUUCUGCAUGAGACGGGUGUGCUUCCCAAUUUGGCUGUUAUCCGUCAUGUCUCUCAAGGAGCCCAAAUGCCUCUAAAGAGGCUUGGGGCCACGUCUGCCGCAAGGAGGCGGGCUCCUGCACCUUGUCUAAUGUUCCCAAGCUCCCACAGAGUCAGUGCAAUGCAAAGUCCACCUUCUAAACCACCGCCACCCUGGAGUUUGGUGCCAGAGCCCAGAGCAAUCGAGUGGGAGGUCGGAUCCUUCCCCUUGGAAUAACAACUGGAAGAAUCAACCGAAAUGUCCAUCUCUUGGUGAUUUGUUUAAGAAAUUAUGCUACAUUGCCCUGACCGGAUUGGCUCAGUGGAUGGAGUGUCGGCCUGAGGACUGAAGGGUCCCAGGUUCAAUUCCGGUCAAGGGCAUGUACCUUGGUUGCAGGCACAUCCC